rnacentral:rRNA from 1 species
GACGAACGCUGGCGGCGUGCUUAACACAUGCAAGUCGAACGGAAAGGCCCUGCUUUUGUGGGGUGCUCGAGUGGCGAACGGGUGAGUAACACGUGAGUAACCUGCCCUUGACUUUGGGAGAACUUCAGGAAACUGGGGCUAAUACCGGAUAGGAGCUCCUGCUGCGUGGGGGGGGUUGGAAAGUUUCGGCGGUGGGGGAUGGACUCGCGGGUUACCAGCUUGUUGGGGGGGUAGUGGCUUACAAGGGUUUUGACGGGUAGCCGGCCUGGGCGGGUGACCGGCCACCUUGGGCCUGCGAUACGGCCCAGAAUCCUACGGGAGGCAACAGUGGGGAGUAUUGCACAAUGGGCGGAAGCCUGAUGCAGCAACGCCGCGUGCGGGAUGAUGGCCUUCGGGUUGUAAACCGCUUUCGCCUGUGCCGAAGCGUGAGUGACGGUAAUGGGUAAAGAAGCACCGGCUAACUACGUG